rnacentral:misc_RNA from 1 species
UCUUCCUGCUCAGAGCCGCUA